GACGAACGCUGGCGGCGUGCUUAACACAUGCAAGUCGAACGGAAAGGCCCUGCUUUUGUGGGGUGCUCGAGUGGCGAACGGGUGAGUAACACGUGAGUAACCUGCCCUUGACUUUGGGAUAACUUCAGGAAACUGGGGCUAAUACCGGAUAGGAGCUCCUGCUGCAUGGUGGGGGUUGGAAAGUUUCGGCGGUUGGGGAUGGACUCGCGGCUUAUCAGCUUGUCGGUGGGGUAGUGGCUUACCAAGGCUUUGACGGGUAGCCGGCCUGAGAGGGUGACCGGACACAUUGGGACUGUGAUACGGCCCAGACUCCUACGGGACGCAGCAGUGGGGAAUAUUGCACAAUGGGCGGAAGCCUGAUGCAGCAACGCCGCGUGCGGGAUGACGGCCUUCGGGUUGUAACCCGCUUUCGCCUGUGACGAAGCGUGAGUGACGGUAAUGGGUAAAGAAGCACCGGCUAACUACGUG
rnacentral:rRNA from 1 species